rnacentral:rRNA from 1 species
GAUGAACGCUAGCGGCAGGCCUAACACAUGCAAGUCGAGGGAGGAGCCUUCGGGCUUCGACCGGCGUACGGGUGCGUAACGCGUAUACAAUCUGCCUUUCACAUAGGGAUAGCCCGAAGAAAUUUGGAUUAAUACCUAAUGGUAUAUAGAUGUGGCAUCACCUUUAUAUUAAAGCUGAGGCGGUGAAAGAUGAGUAUGCGUUCUAUUAGCUAGUUGGAGAGGUAACGGCUCCCCAAGGCGACGAUAGAUAGGGGUUCUGAGAGGGAUAUCCCCCACACUGGUACUGCGAUACGGACCAGACUCCUACGGGAGGAAGCAGUGAGGAAUAUUGGACAAUGGUCGGAAGACUGAUCCAGCCAUGCCGCGUGCAGGAAGACGGCCUUAUGGGUUGUAAACUGCUUUUGCAGGGGAAGAAUAAGGACUACGCGUAGUUUGAUGACGGUACUCUGCGAAUAAGCAUCGGCUAACUCCGUG